rnacentral:rRNA from 1 species
UCUGGAGACAGGUGCUGCAUGGCUGUCGUCAGCUCGUGUCGUGAGAUGUUGGGUUAAGUCCCGCAACGAGCGCAACCCUUGCCUUUAGUUGCCAGCAGUUCGGCUGGGCACUCUAAAGGGAACGUGCCGGUGGUUAAACCGGAAGGAAGGUAGGGGAGUUUUGACGUCAAGUCCUCAUGGCCUUUAUGACCAGGGCUACACACGUACUACAAUGGCCGAUACAAAGGGCAGCGACACUGCGAGGUGAAGCCAAUCCCGUAAAAUCGGUCUCAGUCCGGAUUGGAGUCUGCAACUCGACUCCAUGAAGUUGGAAUCGCUAGUAAUCGUGGAUCAGCAUGCCACGGUGAAUACGUUCCCGGGCCUU